AUGGCGGCGUCGGAGCGGGAGGCCGGCCUCCUCGCCCGCGUGGCCGCGAACCACCUCUUCCUCGCUCAAUUCGAGCCCAUGCGCGCGGCUCUACUCAGCCUCCGCCGCCGCACCGAUCCCGAUCUCGCUGCAGACUUCCUCCGCGCGGUGGUCGCCUCGGGGGGCCGCGUCCCUGGCGUGCUCUGGUCGGCGCUGCCCGCCUGCCCCUCCUCCUCCCACCUCGCCUGGCUCGCCGUGCUUGAGCUCGCUGCCCUCCCUUCCACUCCCAACCCCGAGUCGCUCCGCCUCAAGGCUGAGUUUCUCAUUCUUCUCCAGCCCAUCGCUGAUGACCCUGCCACCGGCGUCGAUGCUCGGGGAACGCUCGUGAAGCUGCUGGAUUUGGGGGUGGCGAGGCUGAAACGCGAGGUCGACGACUAUGGGGAACCUGUCGAGGAGGUCCCGGUUACCGAGGAGGAUCUGAGGGGGUUGUGGGGGGUGGUCCUCGACAAUGCCGAGCUGUUUGACGCCCUGUGUGCGGGCGUUUCGAGGCAGAUCGGACUGGACUCAGGUUUUGGUGUAAAUGUGCUCCUGUCGUUGCGACGUAGCGUGCAGCUCGCCCACUUGGACGCCAUGAAGGCGCUUGUCAUGGCUGGUGACGUCGAAAGUGCUACUGGGCAUAUCCGGUUCCUCUGUUUGGAGAAUGGCGUAGAGGAGGACAGUUAUAAGGUUGUCCUAGGUGAUGUUGUGAAAAAGGGUUGGGAAAAAUCAUCAAAUUAUUUUGGAAAAUGGUUUGAAUCGCGUAAUAGAAUCAUUACAAUUUAUGGAGAAGCACUUCAGUCAAGCAGUCCCCAGCUUGUUCAACUAAUUCAGAUCAUUCUGGAUGACAUUCUUUCUGAAGAAUUUGAAGACCACAGUAUCUCUGAUGCUCAUUGGAUGCCUCUUCCUUUCAAGAAGUUUCUGGAAACAUUGUGGUUGGAGAGGGAUGCUGAUUCAGAUGACAGGACCAUUUUGACCGAAGCUAUAGUAUCCUGCAAGAAAGAUCUGUUCCACUAUUCUCGACUUUCUGGAAAGCAUGUCCUUGAAGUUAUCAUGGAAACUGCUCUAUCAUUAAUUAAGAGAGAACAGCUUCAAGAAGCUGUUAAUGUUGUUUCUUUAUUUCCCCUUCUCCAGCCAUUGGUUGCUGUAUUGGGUUGGGAUAUUCUGAAGGGUAAGACAGAACUGCGGAGAAAGUUAAUGCAGUUGUUCUGGACAAGCAAAUCCCAAGCUCUGCGUCUACAAGAAUAUUCACAUUACCGUGCACAGACGGAUGAGACAUCCUGUGAGGAGUACCUAUGUGACCUGUUAUGCUUUCAUCUGGAUCUUGCAUCCUUCGUUUCCAGUGUGAAUUCUGGGCACCCUUGGAAUUUGAGGAAUUCAUUGUUCUCCCAAAAAGAGCAAGAUUCAGUUGUUAAUGCAGAAACAUUAGAUCCUUUUGUUGAGAACAUGAUACUUGAGCGGUUAGCUGUUCAGACUCCCAUGAGAGUGCUGUUUGACGUGGUCCCAGGAAUAAAGUUUCAAGAUGCAAUUGAGCUUGUUGGUAUGCAGCCACUUUCUUCAACAACUGCAGCUUCGAAAAGGAUGCAUGACAUCGAGCUGAUGCACAUGCGAUAUGCUCUACAGUCAGUUGCCCUUUCUUUAGGGGAGAUGGAGAAGUGUGCAGGUGAUGGGAAUGAGCACCAUUAUCACAUAGCUUUGUCAUAUUUGAAGGAGAUGCAAAAUUUUAUGGAGGCUAUCGAAAGCACUCCACGAAAGAUUUUCAUGGUCAGCAUUGUAUUAUCAUUAUUACAUAUGGAUGACACUAUCAAGUUGCCGCAAGCCGCCCCCCCAGAGUGUUCUGUCAAUCAUGAUUGCUGUGAUAGUAAUACUGAAUCUGAAGGGAAGAACAUGGUGAUAUCUUUUGUUGGACUUCUGCUUGACAUACUUCGACAUAAUGUCCUAUUUAAAGGCCCUGAUAUGGAUCAGUUGCCAAGUACUGGUCUGUCACCUGCUGGCAGGCAAGCGUUAGAGUGGAGACUCAAACAUGCCAGCCAUUCCAUUGAAGACAUGGAUUGGCGUCUAUCUGUUCUACAACGCCUCCCACCUCUGUCUGGGCGACAAUGGAGUUGGAAGGAGGCAUUAGUUGUUUUACGUGCCGCUCCUUCAAAAUUGUUGAACGUGUGCAUGCAAAGGGCAAAUUAUGGUAUAGGAGAGGAAGCUGUACAACGAUUUUCUUUGCCUGCUGAGGAUAAAGCUUCUCUUGAAUUAGCUGAAUGGGUAGCUGGUGCAUACAGAAGAGCAUUGGUUGAGGAUGCUCUAAAUCGGGCCACAGACAACCCAAGUGUUGCACGCGAAUCAGAUAUUUUGUCAUUCCGUGCUCAGCUUGGUCCUUUAACUACGAUUCUGCUUUGCAUUGAUGUUGCUGCAACUUCUGCUAGGUCAGGGGAUAUGUGUCGAUUUCUUCUUGAUGAGGCUACAAGUUUGUUAUCUGAAAUAUUUCCAGGAACCUCCCCAAAAAUAGGUCCAACUUAUUGGGAUCAGAUUCAAGAAGUUGCUAUCAUAUUAGUGAUAAAGUGCAUCCUUCAGCGCCUGAGUGGCAUUUUAGAUCUCGAAGGUCGGCCAUAUCUUCAAGUAGUUUUUACCGAAGUGAGUGCCUCUUUGUCAACUGAAUCUAGCAGAGUUGGACAAAAGCAACGUCCACUUGGACUCCUGCAUCAGAUGAUUGAUGAUGCCUUCAGAGGAAAGCGUCAGUUCUUGAAUGGUAAACUUCACAAUGUUGCAAGAGCUAUUGUUGAUGAAGAUUCGGAUAAAACUUACUCAAAAGACGGUACCAAGUCAGAAAAAAAAGAUGCUUUGAUAUCCGAAAAAGGUACAGUCCUUGGUCAUGGACUUAGAAUCCUGAAGCAAGCAUCUAAGACUGACCCAACAGCUUCAAGUGUUCCUGAAAGCAGUUCAGACCACAAAGGUUCUACAAACAGAUACUUGGGUCAUGUAUCUACCAAGCCGUCGACAUACUUAUCAAACUUCAUAAUAUAUAUUGCAACCAUUGGUGACAUAGUUGAUGGAACUGACACGACUCAUGAUUUCAACUACUUCUCAUUGGUGUACGAACGACCAAAAGAUCUUUUAACUCGUUUAGUUUUUGAGCAUGGAAGCACUGACGCAGCUGCGAAGGUAGCUGACACAAUGGGUGUGGAUUUUGUGCAUGAGAUAAUAUCAGCUUGUGUGCCACCAGUUCUUCCUCCACGAACAGGACAAGGAUGGGCUUGCAUUCCUAUUUUAACCACAGUUUCUAAUAUUAUUUCUGAAAACAGUUCAACAGUUCCAAAGUCCCUCCCCCCUGAUCAAGGAUGGAGUCCACAUGAUUCAUUGUUGUCUUCUCGCCGGGAUCCGCUGUAUCCUCUUCAGUUAAAUUUAGUGAAGCAUUUAGCCCAAUUAUCAUCAGUAAGAGCAGUUCUGGCAUGUGUGUUCGGAAGUAGCAUACUAUCUGGUGACAGUGAAUCAUCUCCUACUUAUGUGAAAGAUGCAAUGCAAACCACUGAAGUUGAGAGGUCAUUCUAUGAAUUCGCUCUUGAACAAUCGGAGAGAUAUCCAACUUUGAACCGGUGGAUACAGAUGCAGUCUAACCUUCACCGGGUAUCUGAGUCUGCCGUGGCAGUUAAAACUGAAAAUGAAGUCGCCGUGCAUCAAUCAAAAGGAAAAUUUUCUAUUAAGCGAGCUCGUGAACCUGACAGUGAUGCUGAAUCAGAGCUUGAAGAUGUCGUCAUAAAUGGAAAUGCCGCUUCAAGUACACUAGAAUCCCCUAAACAUGAUGAUGCUAAACUAGAGCCAACAGCUUUUAUUUCUUUUGACUGGGAGAACGAAGGACCAUAUGAGAAAGCCGUUGAGAGGCUAAUUAAUGAAGGAAAACUAACUGAUGCUCUUGCUGUAUCCGACCGUUGUUUGCGCAAUGGAGCGUCUGAUAAAUUACUUCGAUUGCUCAUUGAUCAAAGGGAAGAAAGAAGUCUAGGCACAGGACAAUUCCGCCCAUAUGGUUCCCGUAACUUGGGGAGUAAUACUUGGCAGUAUUGUUUGAGACUGAGGGAUAAAAAACUUGCAGCUCAGCUUGCUCUUAAGUACCUGCACAGUUGGAACCUUGACGCUGCAACCAAUGUUCUAACUAUGUGCAUCUGCCACUUACCUGAGAAUGAUCCUAUGCGGAGUAAGGUGCUACACAUGAAGCAAUCUCUGCAACGGUAUGGUCAUAUUAUGAGUGCUGAUGACCAUUACACCAGAUGGCAAGAGGUCGAAGUUGAUUGUGAAGAUGAUCCAGAAGGGGUAGCACUUAGGCUUGCCGCCAAAGGAGCUGUAUCUGCUGCUUUACAGGUCGCCGAAAGUGCCUCUCUGUCAAUCGAUUUGCGGAGGGAACUGCAAGGCCGCCAGCUUGUCAAACUUCUUACCACUGAUCCACUUAAUGGUGGAGGCCCAGCUGCGGCAUCACGAUUUCUAUCGACCUUACGAGAUUCCAAUGAUGCUCUUCCUGUUGCCAUUGGUGCCAUGAAGUUAUUACCUGACUUGCGCUCAAAGCAGCUUCUUGUGCAUUUUUUUCUCAAACGUACAGUUGGGAAUUUGUCAGAUGCUGAGAUUGCUCGACUUAAUUCAUGGGCGCUGGGUCUUCGUGUUCUUUCCUUAUUGCCAUUGCCAUCACAACAGCGUUGCUCUUCUCUGCAUGAACAUCCUCAGUUGAUUCUGGAAGUACUAUUGAUGAUGAAGCAACUCGAGUCUGCGUCUCUGGUUUUGAAAGAAUUUCCAUCCCUGAGGGAUGACAAGUUAAUCAUUGCUUACGCUAAGAAAGCAAUCUCUGUCAAUAUCGAUUCUACUCUUAGGGAACCGCGACAAACCAUCUCUGCGGCAAGAGAAAAAGAAAAAAAGGCUGCCAUACCAGCUAAAACAAAUUUUGUGCAGAGUUUUGGCAACUUUCAGAGAGAGGCACGUAAAGCAUUCUCAUGGGUGCCCCGCGAUGGUGGCACCAAAACCCCCCCGAAAGAUAUCCCUCGGAAAAGAAAGAGUUCAGGCUCAGGUGAUAGAUCCUCUUGGGAAGCGAUGCCUGGUGUACAGGAGGAGCAGACACCUGUUUACCCUUCUGAAGGACAAGAUAGACUUCCUUUUGUUUCUGCUCCUGAGGAGUGGGUGCUUACCGGAGAGCCUGAUAGGGAUAACACAACUCGUUCAUGUCAUAGAUAUGAAUCCUCUCCAGAUAUCGCACUAUUCAAGGCAUUGCUUUCACUGUGCACUGAUGAGUCAGUAGCCGGAAAAGGUGCACUUGAACUGUGUGUUACUCAGAUGAAGGUUGUGCUAAGCUCCCUACAGUUGCCUCUCAAUGCAUCUAUGGACAAUGUAGCCCGGGCUUAUCAUGCAACGGAAACUUAUGUGCAGGCAAUCUCUUAUUCAAAAAAUCUACUAAAAAAGCUCACCGGGAGUAGUGAUUUGUCAAGUGGCUCUGAAAGAAGUAGAGAUGCUGAUGAUGUUUCUGUGGACGCUGGCAGUUCAAGCACUGGGGUCCAACAUCAAGAUGAGCUGUCUGAUCUCCUUGCUCAAGCAGAUAUGUGGCUAGGGCGUGCUGAGCUUCUUCAAAGCCUGCUGGGAUCAGGUAUUAUUGCAUCACUUGAUGAUAUUGCUGGCAAAGAGUCUUCAACUAGUCUACGUGACAGGCUGGUCAGUGAUGAGCGAUACAGCAUGGCUGUAUAUACUUCUAAGAAGUGCAAGAUUGAUGCUUUUCCAGUGUGGGUUGCUUGGGGCCAUGCUCUAGUUCGAAUGGAACACUACGCUCAAGCCCGUGUGAAAUUUAAGCAAGCUCUUCAACAGUUCAAAGGUGAUGCGCCUCCUGUUGUCCUUGAUAUCAUUAACACAAUUGAAGGGGGUCCUCCUGUUGAUGUUUCUUCUGUCCGCUCUAUGUAUGAACAUGUAGCAAAAAGUGCAGCAACCAUCUUCGAUGAUUCCCUUUCUGCUGAUUCUUAUCUUAAUGUUCUAUAUAUGCCAUCCACAUUCCCACGAUCUGAGAGGUCCAGGCAAUCCAGAGAUUCUCUAGAUAGCCAAUUUUCGUCUGCUAACUCAUACCUUGAAGAUGGUCCUCGCAGCAAUCUUGAUAGCGUCCGAUAUGCAGAGUGUAUUCAUUACUUGCAGGAAUAUGCUCGCCCACAAAUGCUUGCUUUCAUGUUCAGGCAUGGCCAUUAUGCAGAAGCAUGCUCUCUAUUCUUUCCAUCCAGUGAACCAACCGCAGAAGGGGAAACAUCUUUGUCUUCAGUUCCUCGGAGUGAUCCUUUAACAACUGAUUAUGGGACAAUUGAUGACCUGUGUGAUCUAUGUCUUGGAUAUGGUGCUAUGUCUGUAUUGGAGGAUACAAUAUUGGCAAUAACUCAAUCCCCGACAUAUCAUGACACAACUGUGAUUCAGUACAUGAACACUGUUCUCACCCGCAUUUGUAACUACUGUGAAAUGCAUCGGCACUAUAAUUAUCUUUACAACUUUCUGGUUCUAAAAGGUGACCAUGUGGCUUCUGGCCUUUGCUGUAUUCAGUUAUUCAUGAAUUCAAUGUCCCAAGAGGAAUCUCUGAAGCAUUUGGGACAUGCCAAGACACAUUUUGAGGAAGCUUUAUCUGUACGAGAUAGAACAAUUGAGGCUACAAAAUUGGUAUCACGGACUGCUCGCAAUAAGAGUGCAUCGGAAAAACUAACUAGAGAGAUGAUAAUGAAAUUUUCUACCAGAGUUUCCUAUCAGAUGGAUGUUGUGAAGGUCCUCAACAGUGUAGAUGGGCCUCAGUGGAAGACCUCCCUGUUUGGAAAUCCAACUGAUCCUGAAACUCUGAGGCGAAGGUGCAUGGUUGUUGAAACUCUGGCUGAAAAGCAUUUCGAUUUAGCUUUUAGAAUGCUUCAUGAGUUUGAUCUUCCAGUUGUGGAUGUUUAUGCCGGUGUAGCAGCAUCCCUCGCAGAGAGGAAAAAAGGUGGCCAGUUAACGGAGUUCUUGAAAAACAUAAGGGGAACCAUAGAAGAUGAUGAAUGGGAUCAGGUUCUGGGUGCUGCUAUAAAUGUUUAUGCUAACAAGCAUAAAGAAAGGCCAGAUCGACUUAUUGAUAUGCUAAUCAGCAAUCACAGGAAAGUACUUGCUUGUGUUGUUUGCGGCCGUCUGAAAAGUGCAUUCCAGAUAGCCUCACGAAGUGGAAGUGUAGCUGAUGUUCAAUAUGUUGCCCAUCAGGCAUUACAUGCAAAUGCAUUGCCGGUUCUUGAUAUGUGCAAGCAAUGGCUGGCCCAGUACAUGUAA
rnacentral:rRNA from 1 species